GAAAUGCGAUAAGUAAUGUGAAUUGCAGAAUUCAGUGAAUCAUCGAAUCUUUGAACGCACCUUGCGCUUUUUGGCCAUUCCAAAGAGCAUGCCUGUUUGAGUGUCAUUGAAUCCUCAAGGCCCCCCUUCGCCCUUUGCGGCUACGGGGGGGACUUGGAUGUGGGAGCGCUGCGGGAGGCCUACAGGUUGGCCUCUCGCUCUCCUCAAACGCAUCAGUAGGGCCUCUCGGGUCUUCGCGGCGUUGAUAGUCGUCCACGCCUCGUCCCGUUGGGGGGUUCACCUGCUUCGAAAACACCCCUUCUCUGACUCUUUUGACCUCAAAUCAGGUAGGACUACCCGCUGAACUUAA
rnacentral:misc_RNA from 1 species